GCCGGUGGGGGGACCGGGCCGCCCGGGCGGUGGCCGCGCCCAUCGCGGCCUCGGCCGUGUGCUCGUUGCGUUCGACGCGUUGCUCCAGCC
rnacentral:tRNA from 1 species